AAGCGUCCUCCUCGCCGUUGGCUUUCUCGGGCGAGCCGCGUCUCCCUCGUCUCCCUCCCCCCGCACGCCCGCACCCAAUUUUCCUCCCCCCAAUCUCUCUCUCUCUCGCUCGUCCGCUCGAAUCCUCCACCGAUCGGAUCCCCCGCGGCUCGUCGGCGGCGAUCCUCCGGCGGCGCCGCGCCCAGGCGUCAGGAGGCAGCUUUGGCUUGGCUUGGCUUCGCCAUUACUGGGCGUGGAGUUCUCGUGAGGUGGAGACCCAAGCCUCACCCGAAAGAGACGCUCCAAUUCCUAGGCGUAAAUAUUACUGCCAGCCUCGCUGCAGCAGCAGCCCGAAAAAAGAAUUCCCCAAUUCCGCCUCCUCCUCCUCCUCCACUCCACAUUUAUUGGGGGUGUUCUUGGGCGGGGGGUGUGGAUUGGUGGUGGAGCUGUCAAUGCGGGUGGAUUUGA
rnacentral:lncRNA from 1 species